rnacentral:rRNA from 1 species
UAAUACAUAGGUUGCAAGCGUUAUCCGGAUUUACUGGGCGUAAAGCGUGUGUAGUCGGUUCCUUAAGUCUGACGUGCAAUGACAAGGCUCAACCUUGUCCUGCGUUGGAAACUGGGGAGCUAGAGUUACGGAGGGGCAAAUGGAAUUCCUAGUGUAUCGGUGGAAUGAGUAGAUAUUAGGAGGAACAUCAGUGGCGAAGGCGAUUUGCUGGACGAUAACUGACGAUGAGACACGAAAGCGUGGGUAGCAAACAGGAUUAGAUACCCUGGUAGUCCACGCCCUAAACGAUGGGUACUAGGUGCUGGGAUAACUCGGUGCCGCAGCUAACGCAAUAAGUACCCCGCCUGGGGAGUAUGCACGCAAGUGUGAAACUCAAAGGAAUUGACGGGGACCCGCACAAGCGGAGGAGCAUGUGGUUUAAUUCGAAGCAACGCGAAGAACCUUACCAGGGCUUGACAUCCGGGGGCAAAGCUAUAGAGAUAUAGUGGAGGCUAUCCCCGAGACAGGU